GACGUAGGGCGCGAGCGUUGUCCGGAUUUAUUGGGCGUAAAGAGCUCGUAGGCGGCUUGUUGCGUCGACCGUGAAAACCCGGGGCUCAACUUCGGGCUUGCGGUCGAUACGGGCGGGCUAGAGUUCGGUAGGGGAGACUGGAAUUCCUGGUGUAGCGGUGGAAUGCGCAGAUAUCAGGAGGAACACCGAUGGCGAAGGCAGGUCACUGGGCCGCAACUGACGCUGAGGAGCGAAAGCAUGGGGAGCGAACAGG
rnacentral:rRNA from 1 species